AGCAUAUCAAUAAGCGGAGGAAAAGAAACCAACAGGGAUUGCCCUAGUAACGGCGAGUGAAGCGGCAACAGCUCAAAUUUGAAAUCUGGCCUCGGCCCGAGUUGUAAUUUGCAGAGGAUGAUUUUGGCGCGGUGCCUUCCGAGUUCCCUGGAACGGGACGCCACAGAGGGUGAGAGCCCCGUAUGGUCGGACACCAAGCCUUUGUAAAUCUCCUUCGACGAGUCGAGUAGUUUGGGAAUGCUGCUCAAAAUGGGAGGUAAAUCUCUUCUAAAGCUAAAUAUUGGCCAGAGACCGAUAGCGCACAAGUAGAGUGAUCGAAAGAUGAAAAGCACCUUGAAAAGGGGGUUAAACAGUACGUGAAAUUGUUGAAAGGGAAGGGCUCGUGACCAGACUUGUGCCAGGCGGCUCAUCCGGCGUUCUCGCCGGUGCACUCCGCCUGGCUCAGGCCAGCAUCGGUUCUUGCCGGGGGAUAAGAGCUUCGGGAACGUGGCCCCCUUCGGGGGGUGUUAUAGCCCGUUGCACGAUGCCCUGGCGGGGACCGAGGUUCGCGCUCCGCAAGGAUGCUGGCGUAAUGGUCACCAACCACCCGUCUUGAAACACGGACCAAGGAGUCGUCCAUCAGAGCGAGCGUUUGGGUGUAAAACCCGCACGCGUAAUGAAAGUGAACGCAGGUGAGAGCUUCGGCGCAUCAUCGACCGAUCCUGAUGUAUUCGGAUGGAUUUGAGUAAGAGUUUUGCUGGACGGACCCGAAAGACAGUGAACUAUGCUUGUAUAGGGUGAAGCCAGAGGAAACUCUGGUGGAGGCUCGCAGCGGUUCUGACGUGCAAAUCGAUCGUCAAAUAUGAGCAUGGGGGCGAAAGACUAAUCGAACUGUCUAGUAGCUGGUUACCGCCGAAGUUUCCCUCAGGAUAGCAGUGUUGUUCUUCAGUUUUAUGAGGUAAAGCGAAUGAUUAGGGACUCGGGGGCGCUUAUUAGCCUUCAUCCAUUCUCAAACUUUAAAUAUGUAAGAAGCCCUUGUUACUUAAUUGAACGUGGGCAUUCGAAUGUACCAACACUAGUGGGCCAUUUUUGGUAAGCAGAACUGGCGAUGCGGGAUGAACCGAACGCGGGGUUAAGGCGCCAGAGUGUACGCUCAUCAGACACCACAAAAGGCGUUAGUACAUCUUGACAGCAGGACGGUGGCCAUGGAAGUCGGAAUCCGCUAAGGACUGUGUAACAACUCACCUGCCGAAUGUACUAGCCCUGAAAAUGGAUGGCGCUCAAGCGUACCGCCCAUACCCCGCCCUCAGGGUAGAAACGAUGCCCUGAGGAGUAGGCGGCCGUGGGGG
rnacentral:rRNA from 1 species